UCCGAGAUAGUAUAGUGGUUAGUAUUUCCGCCUGUCACGCGGAAGACCCGGGUUCGAUUCCCGGUCUCGGNN
rnacentral:tRNA from 1 species